UUCUCGAUUUUGACAAAAUUUUGGAUUUCGUUCAAAUUACACCUAAUCGACCCCAAAUUUCAUGGAGAUCACGAAUAUUUGGUUUAUUUUGUCAGCAGCUCAACGGUUAAGGUGCUAUCGCUUACUUCCGGUCUACUUCCGGAAAAUUUGCAUAAAACUAGCAAGUGAGCUUUGUUCUCAAUACUGCUCUCAAGAUUGAUUGCUAGGUUUUGGCGAACAAAAAUGCGCUUUUCAAGUUAUGUGAGUAUGUUAAGACCAGCCCUUCAAAUACUGAGUUUUUAGACGUGUCUAAUAGAUGGCGUGUCGAUUAUUGUGUCAGUUAUGGGCUUAUGGCGUUUUGCUGUCAGAAGUUAAGUUAUCUUUUCUUCGAAAAUUACCAAUGAAUUCAUAGUCUGAAUCUGUCGUGCAGCCGGCCGUCAACUAUUUUGUUCAAACUUAUUGUAUUCUACUGAAUGUGCCAUCGAAAUGAUACAGGAUUCAUCAUAAUUAUCGGCUGUUUCUAUUGGACUUGCUAGAUCACCA